rnacentral:sRNA from 1 species
UCGGGCGCGCCUUCAGAGCGUGCCGCUGGUAGAUCUUCGCC